GGCCUCAUAGCUCAGUUGGCUAGAGCGUUGUCUGUUAUAAAUCCUUUUCAUUGCUUGCGUGGCUUCGAAUCCCAUCGAGGCCG
rnacentral:tRNA from 1 species